ensembl:lncRNA
AAACAGCGUUCAGGACUCAGCUGAGCAUUGCCUCUGAACUACAAAGACCUGCGAGAAAGUGGUGUCAAACACCCAGCUCCUGCUCUGACCCCUGGUGAGGGGAAAUGAAUCAAUGUUGGGAAAAUCUGGAAAGCAGGAUGAGAUUAUCUACGUACUUGGGAGCCUGGAGAGCUGCCAUGUUUGGGUGCAGGUGGGACGUGGGAGAGAGCAGUGCAGGCGUUGGUUACUCAUUGCAAUGCAGAGUGCUGCAGGACCCAGCUCUGAAGUGCCUUCAUCCUUGUGAGCUGAAGUUAAGCAUCCAGCUUCUGCCCGGCACUGCCGAGAGCGGAUGGCUAAUUCCCAUUUCCUACCAGAAAACUGUGGCUGCCUCUCCUCACUGGGGAACCAAGGAACUGAAGGUGCUACCAGAGUACAUGGAAUGGCUAAUAACUGUUGGCUGCAGCAUUUCUGCCCCAGCCAUGUGUGCAAAGAACUUGUCAUCACCUGAGAUGCUAUGAAGUGGCAGCAACCUGUAGGUCUUUCCACGGAGUAUUAAGGGUCAAUUUAUACAAGAAUAAGGAUUCAGGGACCUUUCUCCUGGGAUUCUGAGCCCUUUGGGGCACAAGGUGAGCCUUUAGUUAUUUCCAAGCCUUGUAGAGCUGGCUCAGCCACCAACCCUGGAGCUUCUGCACUGCCCAAGAAGAUACCAUGUCCUGACAAGAUGAAACACCUCAAGCUCACUGCUGUGAUGACACCUUUCCGUUGUCCAGUAUGUAAAUCCCAGCACAAAUCACCAGCACUUCUGACUUUGUCAGCGUUUGGCACUGGCCCAGCAGAAGUGACACCAAUUAUUUGUGUCAGCUCCCGUCUGAAAGCAGGAGAUAUAUGAAAUCUAACCCUGAGACAAUCCAUCAUGGUGUGCAGUGGGAUUUAGGACCUGUCACCCUGAUGGGGUAUUGACUGAGCACAGCUUCUUCCAGGACAGAGAGGUUAUGGAGAGCAUUAUAUCACCCCCAGCAAGGCAUUACAGGUUGAAACUGAAAAAUGAGCCUCAAAGUCUCUUAACUUGGGUGAAUGGUCCAACGAGAGCAACUGAAGUGAAACCAGGCAGCUCCUGGUUUAGGGUUAUUGGAGGAGUUUUAAUAACUGUUAUGUGAUUAAAUGUCAGAUAUUUGUUUU